GGGACUGGCGGGCGUGCUAAUACAUGCAAGUCGAACGAGUUCUCGUUGAUGAUCGGUGCUUGCACCGAGAUUCAACAUGGAACGAGUGGCGGACGGGUGAGUAACACGUGGGUAACCUGCCCUUAAGUGGGGGAUAACAUUUGGAAACAGAUGCUAAUACCGCAUAGAUCCAAGAACCGCAUGGUUCUUGGCUGAAAGAUGGCGUAAGCUAUCGCUUUUGGAUGGACCCGCGGCGUAUUAGCUAGUUGGUGAGGUAAUGGCUCACCAAGGCGAUGAUACGUAGCCGAACUGAGAGGUUGAUCGGCCACAUUGGGACUGAGACACGGCCCAAACUCCUACGGGAGGCAGCAGUAGGGAAUCUUCCACAAUGGACGCAAGUCUGAUGGAGCAACGCCGCGUGAGUGAAGAAGGCUUUCGGGUCGUAAAACUCUGUUGUUGGAGAAGAAUGGUCGGCAGAGUAACUGUUGUCGGCGUGACGGUAUCCAACCAGAAAGCCACGGCUAACUACGUGCCAGCAGCCGCGGUAAUACGUAGGUGGCAAGCGUUAUCCGGAUUUAUUGGGCGUAAAGCGAGCGCAGGCGGUUUUUUAAGUCUGAUGUGAAAGCCCUCGGCUUAACCGAGGAAGCGCAUCGGAAACUGGGAAACUUGAGUGCAGAAGAGGACAGUGGAACUCCAUGUGUAGCGGUGAAAUGCGUAGAUAUAUGGAAGAACACCAGUGGCGAAGGCGGCUGUCUGGUCUGUAACUGACGCUGAGGCUCGAAAGCAUGGGUAGCGAACAGGAUUAGAUACCCUGGUAGUCCAUGCCGUAAACGAUGAAUGCUAGGUGUUGGAGGGUUUCCGCCCUUCAGUGCCGCAGCUAACGCAUUAAGCAUUCCGCCUGGGGAGUACGACCGCAAGGUUGAAACUCAAAGGAAUUGACGGGGGCCCGCACAAGCGGUGGAGCAUGUGGUUUAAUUCGAAGCAACGCGAAGAACCUUACCAGGUCUUGACAUCUUUUGAUCACCUGAGAGAUCAGGUUUCCCCUUCGGGGGCAAAAUGACAGGUGGUGCAUGGUUGUCGUCAGCUCGUGUCGUGAGAUGUUGGGUUAAGUCCCGCAACGAGCGCAACCCUUAUGACUAGUUGCCAGCAUUUAGUUGGGCACUCUAGUAAGACUGCCGGUGACAAACCGGAGGAAGGUGGGGAUGACGUCAAAUCAUCAUGCCCCUUAUGACCUGGGCUACACACGUGCUACAAUGGAUGGUACAACGAGUUGCGAGACCGCGAGGUCAAGCUAAUCUCUUAAAGCCAUUCUCAGUUCGGACUGUAGGCUGCAACUCGCCUACACGAAGUCGGAAUCGCUAGUAAUCGCGGAUCAGCACGCCGCGGUGAAUACGUUCCCGGGCCUUGUACACACCGCCCGUCACACCAUGAGAGUUUGUAACACCCGAAGCCGGUGGCGUAACCCUUUUAGGGAGCGAGCCGUCUAAGGUGGACAAAAGGUUGGC
rnacentral:rRNA from 1 species